CCAGGCAGACGCUGUGACGCCGCCAGGCUGAGUGACAAUUGCGCUCUGGCUUCUUUGACUUCCAGGUCCCACAUGGGCUCCUCUCCCCCGAGAUCCGCUGCUUCCUGUUGCUUCGCUGGCUAAUUCCUAACACCAGCUCCUACUUGGAGUCUCGUUGCGGAUCCUUCCUCCUGGAACCCUUCCCUGAGCCUGCAAACCCGUGCCACAGCUCGCUUGGUGCUGCUUGAGCUUCCUCUGCGCUGGCACAGGAGCUGGUGAGAACAGGUCUGUACCGAGAGGGAGCCGAGGCUCAGUCCCCUUCCAGGGGACGCAGGAAGCCGGAGCCAGUCCAGCCCUGGACCCUGAGCUUCCCGGGCUGGUACUUCUCACCCUCAGAAACUUGGAUGAAGAAAAAAAAUAUGUCCUUCACACCACGGAAAUACCAAGUGAAUACCACAAGCAAGAUAGGGGAAGGUUGUGCUCCACCACUUAAAGGCAGCACGUAUCUGUGAGACAUGAUGGGUCAAGCUGCCACACUGUGUGAUAAAAAUGUAAGUGUAAAUGUAAUGGAAAGGAACAAAAUGUAAUAAGGUUGCAGAUUCAGCAAAGCAAGCAAAUGAUGGAUAAAUAAAACAACGGUAACCGGCUACUAA